AAGGGUCAGGGGCUACGAUUUGGUGGCUGCCUUGAGGCUCAUUUGACCACGUGACUACUGUUUUGAAAAUGGCUGUUUCAAAGUAGCCCUUUCUUUUCCACCCAGAGGUUGCCCCAAGUGAGGUACCCGCCCCCAUCUCCAAUAUAGGGUGACAGGCUGACCUUUCCACACUCCCCUCUGUGACCCCUACUCUCUGCAGCUGAUCCUUCCAUCACAGGGCUGAGCAAUGUGAUCUAGAAGCUAGUGUCUAAACAUUUCAUUGAAACUGUCUUUGGAGGCUCCCUGCCAUGGUUAAUUCUGUCACAUUCUAGAAUGGGGGGAGGGUCGGACAGACUGAUAACCAGGUCCUAGCUGAUCUCAGGACCUGUAAGGGGAAAUUCCACUCCCAAAGUGGGUCUGAUAAGCAGGCUGUCCAAAUGUGGGUAAGCUGGUGCCCCCCCAAACCUGCCCCACAAGGGCACCAGCCUUUGCUACCAGCACUCUGGGAUUCUUCUUAGGAUGGAGUUUUGUGUUCAGCCAUUACAGUAGGCAGAGCCUUCCAGGGUGACCUCAUUUGGAACCAGCAUCAUAGCUCACAUUUUCUGAGCUCUUGUUAUGUGCUAGACUUAUGUGAUCAUUCCAUUUAAUUCUCACAACCCCUCUAUGAGGUGUGUGUAGGUCCCACUGUCAGGCUAGUGGGUGAGAAAGUGAGGCACAGAGAGCCCCUGUUGCUUGGCCAGGCUCACACAGCUAGUUCAGGGUGAAGCUAGGAUUAGAACAAGGCAGACUUUCUCUACAGCCUGCACUCUAAAGCCAACGUGCUAGUUGUGAAGACCCUGAAGUCCUUCAAAGACUACCAGUACCAACAAGAUGGGGGUCUCCAGACCCAUGACCUUGCCCAAGAUAGGUUUUCACACCCCAGUCCUGGGUACCCAGCCUCAGUGACACACUUACCUGCAGACCUGAGGUGUUCCUGGCUGCUGGGGGAUGGAAGGGGUAAGGGGCUUUCAGGAGGGGACUGGGAACCAAAGCAGAGCAUCUGAGCGCAUGCUGUCAACCCUAAGGCGGAGGGCCCUGGUUGGGGAUUAUGCCUAGACCUGUGAGAAUGAUUUCACAUAGAUUAGGAUGUCAGUCCUGUUGUAGGGAAGGCACUAAAAGAUUAUUAUUAUUAUUGCAUAAUGUUGAAGUCUGAGCAAAGCACUAGUUCAGGUGCCGGGAAUACAGAAUUGGACAAAAUAGGAAAACAAAAAACACCUGAAGCUGACAGUCGAAUGAGGUUACAGACAAAUAAACACGCAUGGUGUGUCAGAUGGUGAUAAGUGAUCACAGACAAGUAAGGCAGAAUUUCAACUGGGGUUGAAACUGAGUAAGGUGGUCAGGGUGGGCCUCCCUGAGAAGGAUAUUUGAGCACAGACCCACAGGAGCUGUGGGAUGAAGCCAGGUGGCUGUCAAGGAACAGGUGAUCCAGGCAAGGGAACAACUCUCCCCAUUACUACUCCACUGUUGUGAGACGGCCACAUUGAGCUUGUUGCAUCAAAGUCCUACAAAGCAGAGAAUGAGAAACCCAGACCCGAAGUCACCAAGAGUACAUUACGGGAAGCAGAAGAGAUUUGACAAAAGGUACACAGCAAUGAUUAGUGAAGAGCUUCCAGAGCAGGCCCUGGCUGAGGAGAGGCCCCCACCCUUACCUGGGAGCCCCUGCCCUACCUGUCGAGGCACACCGGGGCAAAGAGCGAGCAGAGGAAGAGGCGCACAUCAGGGUCGCACUCCCUGGCCAGCAGGGGCAACCAGCUGACUGACUGCUGGAUGGCCUCGGCUGCUGUGUCAUGGUCCAGCAAGUGGGGUAGCCGCAUCUCUGUGUAGCCAGUGUCGUGGCACAGCGCCAUGGCUUGGGGAAUGGCCAUGCACCGCAUGGGGCCCCAGGGAGCCCCUGCCCCACCGUCACCCGACAGCACCACCAGUGCCACCAGCUGCCACAGCCCUUGAUCCAUCACCUGCUUUCUCUGCCUUGGUCUCAGUGCACUGAGGUUGGGGGCUUUAUAAGGGCUAUACCCACACCCCAGGAGCCAAUGUUUGCCCAGCUUCCAUGUGCUCAGACCCACCUGGUUAGGCCCCAGUGUGCUGACCUGGGCUGUUUGCAUUUGAAUAGCACGUGGCAGGGGGCUGUAUAGAGGGUGGCAUCUCCUUUGGGCCUGUGAAUGACUGGCACCUAAUAAACUGAAGAAACCUGGGCCUGUGUUUUCUUUUUCUGGUUUACUUUU